rnacentral:rRNA from 1 species
AGGAAAAGAAACUAACAGGGAUUCCCUUAGUAAGGGCGACUGAACCGGGAAGAGCCCAGCGCAUAACCUCGUACACUCUGUUGAGGCGUUUCGAGGGGUGUUGCGUUUCAGAGGGUCUAGCACGCCGACCAUUCUCGCCUAAGUCUCGUUUGAAAGCGGCUCAUUACCCAUGGAGGGUGAUAGGCCCGUGUGGCGACGUAGUCCCGCGAGGGAAACCUUGGUCGGCGGAAAGGACUUUUCUGUAGAGUCAGGUUGCUUGAAACUGCAGCCUAAAGUAGGUGGUAAACUCCUUCUAAAGCUAA